rnacentral:rRNA from 1 species
GAUGAACGCUGGCGGCGUGCCUAAUACAUGCAAGUCGAGCGAACAGAUAAGGAGCUUGCUCCUUUGACGUUAGCGGCGGACGGGUGAGUAACACGUGGGUAACCUACCUAUAAGACUGGGAUAACUUCGGGAAACCGGAGCUAAUACCGGAUAACAUUUGGAACCGCAUGGUUCUAAAGUGAAAGAUGGUUUUGCUAUCACUUAUAGAUGGACCCGCGCCGUAUUAGCUAGUUGGUAAGGUAACGGCUUACCAAGGCAACGAUACGUAGCCGACCUGAGAGGGUGAUCCGCCACACUGGAACUGAGACACGGUCCAGACUCCUACGGGAGGCAGCAGUAGGGAAUCUUCCGCAAUGGGCGAAAGCCUGACGGAGCAACGCCGCGUGAGUGAUGAAGGGUUUCGGCUCGUAAAACUCUGUUAUUAGGGAAGAACAAACGUGUAAGUAACUGUGCACGUCUUGACGGUACCUAAUCAGAAAGCCACGGCUAACUACGUG